AAAAGCUCGUAGUUGGAUUUCUGGCAGGAACGUCCGGUCUCACACUCAGUGCGGGAACUUGGAUGUCUCUGGCCAUCUUUGGGGAUAUCCUGUUUGGCAUUAAGUUGUCGGGCAGGGGACACCCAUCGUUUACUGUGAAAAAAUUAGAGUGUUUAAAGCAGGCUUAUGCCGUUGAAUAUAUUAGCAUGGAAUAAUAAGAUAGGACGUAGGUACUAUUUUGUUGGUUUGCGCACCCACGUAAUGAUUAAUAGAGACAGGCGGGGCUAUUCGUAUUGCAUUGUCAGAGGUGAAAUUCUUGGAUUUCUGCAAGACGAACUACUGCGAAAGCAUUUAGCAAGGAUGUUUUCAUUAAUCAAGAACGAAAGUUAGGGGAUCGAAGAUGAUUAGAUACCAUCGUAGUCUUAACCAUAAACUAUGCCGACUCGGGAUUGGCAGUUGUUUUUUGACUC
rnacentral:rRNA from 1 species